rnacentral:sRNA from 1 species
UUGUAGGGCACCUCUCGCUUGGCAGGCAAUGGCAGCAUGAGAAGGUGUUAGAAUUCGACCCUGUUGUCUUGCCAAAGGAGAGCUGCCCUGUGA